CUGCUGCCUUCCGUAGGAGUCUGGUCCGUGUCUCAGUACCAGUGUGGGGGACCUUCCUCUCAGAACCCCUACGCAUCGUCGCCUUGGUGGGCCGUUACCCCGCCAACAAGCUAAUGCGACGCAUGACCAUCCGUAGCCGGAAUCGCUUCCUUUAAACCCACAGAGAUGCCUCCAUGGGUUGUUACGCGGUAUUAGACGGAAUUUCUUCCGCUUAUCCCCCUGCUACGGGCAGGUUUCAUACGUGUUACUCACCGUGCGCCGGUCGCCGGG
rnacentral:rRNA from 1 species